UUGGUCGAACUUUUCUGAAAGGCAAUGGAGUGAAAAGUUAGCAUUGAUGGUAAACAUGAACCAAAGUAGUGACACUAUUCAGAUCGUGGUCAGCUCGGUACCUUUUUCCUUCACAACUACUUGUUAUACAUGCUUCCCGAAAUUGGUGGCUUGCAUUGGAACUAACUUUUUCCCCCUUGUUCGUCUUCAAAGGUAUUCAAGUGUGUUGGUCAACCAUGACUAUCUCCUUUGUCCCUCCACCAUAAGGCCUAGUUUCCCCUUAUGACAUCACUAUUUCGGACACUCGGCGCCCCAUUUCUGGAAAGGUGUAUAGUAACGUCUGUGGCGUGACCUGGUUCUCACUCCCUUCAGGUAUCACCGCUCUCACGAAGGGAGCUAUUGAGAACCACUUGUCUCCUCUUGAUGUUUAAGGCGAAAACCACAGACAUGGAGACAACUCCGCUGGAGUUGUGAAAUCUGCCUGGUCACUUGAACGCCGUCACCACCAAACCGUGCAGUAUCAUCCUCAUUAUCAUACCUGCUUCCACCUGCUUAUGUUCUCGCAGCUGAUUGGCUACCUUCACCGGAAGCAUCUGGUACAACAAUUCGUCAGUUUUUCUCUUUUCUUCUUCCAGCGCCUUUCCCGUUCUUGUGAGCUCAGCAGUCGUUUCGUCAAGCUUUUUGCUAAAAAAAAUGAAUUUCCGAAUGAUAUCCAUUUCAGUUCUGUUUAUCAUCUUAUCCGCGGACUUAAGAGCGAUUCUCUGUUGAUUCAACAGGAUGAGUUCCCGCGUGACGUCGUAGAUAGGAAUAUCGGAAAGGAAGAGGUUCUUCUCCGCCAUUUCGUUAAGACUAGACAGCCGGGAACAAUCCGCGAUGAAUUCAGUCCAAUCACCUCCUUCUCUCUGAUGAUGAAACAAGCGUUGAUGAACCUUCGUAGAUGAGCCAUUGAAAGCAUCAAGUUUGGCUGCAUCAUUUCAAAAACGUCACUGAGCUUAACGCCGCC